AAAAUGAACACUGCCUUGAGACUUCCUUUAAUCUCAUUGCGAAAUAAUGUUUUUAGGGGAUGCUUAUUGCACAAUCGAGCAGUUGGUAUAUUCGCAAAGAAAAUUUCACCCGAAAGUCGUCUUACAAUUUUACCACCCCUCAUUAACAUGGAAACAUCAGAUAGCCAACCUGUCAAGAGUUUGACGAUGGAAGAUAUAAUUGAGAAAAGAAUUCAGUUUAUUCCUCUUUACAGGUUCAGAUUACUGGCUUCAGUGAUCGCAUUUUCGAAGAUGAAAAUUUAUCUGACAGGAUUGUCUGUGUUAGUUUUGCCUCCUUUGUCUAUCUCAAUCUACAGCAGUGGCGCAUGAAAACACUUUGUUGGAUGCAGUAGUAGUGAACAGUGUAGCUGUGUUGUCCUGUUCUCUCCUCUACUGGAUGAGUCUGUUCACCAGAGGGUUAAUUGGGUUCAUCUAUGUGUCCGAGUGUGGCACUUGGACUAGAUUAGCACACCUCACCUUCUGGGGAAACAGACACGAUACCAUCUUUGAAUCCAGUAGAAUAAUACCUAUGCAGUAUUCGAAAAACAAGCCUGGAUCUAAAAUUAAGAAACUGGAACUAGAAGGAAUGAGCAACUCCAGGUUCAAGUUUGUCUACAGUCCUCGUCUCAGAAUCAUCUAUGAUUUCGACACAUUUCACGAGUUUUUAGGUUAUGACAGAAUGAGUAAAUGAUCGAUAGCCGUUGUCUAAAACGGGUCUGCUUGAUUUGAUCUUGUUUAAGUGAUGUGAUGCAGUGGUUUGAAAAUUCUCUUGACUAUCUCUAAUUCCCGAUUUAUGUUUAAUUUCAAAAUAUAUUUUGAUCAAAUACUUUGAAUUAACUGCGAUGUGUUUGACUACCUCUGAAUAAUUUACAA